CUUAAUAAUUAAUUAUGACCGUCUGACCCUCCCUUCACUCGAUGAAAUGAAUCAAGUACUGAGAUCUUCUCCCUUGCUUCAACUACCAAACCCAACGCCACCACCACCACCACCAUCCUUAUCCCCCAGGUUUAUUAUAAAGGUAAUUGGCAAAGAUGAUGAAUUGGAAAUUUCAGAGAUACCGAAUGGCGUGAUUCAUUUUCAAGGUUCCAAAAGAUUAGUAGUAGUACGACUUGUCCAUUUUCAUAGGAAGGAGGAGGAAUUCGACAUGCCGCCUAUACAGAAAUUAUAUGAGGCUUGCAAAUUAUCGUUCUCUCCUAAUGGACCUAUUUCUGAAGAAGCUCUCCAGAAAGUAAGGGCGAUGUUAGAUAACAUGAAGCCAUCUGAUGUGGGUCUUCACCAGGAGGCAAUGUCUGUGCGUAAAGGUUCAACAUACGGGAUCAAUGGAAAAAAAGGACGUAAUGGAAGCCAACAGUAUCUGCCUCCAAUCAAAUAUCUCCAUUUGUUUGAGUCUGACUCUUUCUCCAUAGGAAUUUUCUGUAUGCCUCCUUCGUCGAUCAUCCCUCUCCAUAAUCAUCCUGGAAUGACAGUCUUGAGCAAGCUUUUGUAUGGUACAUUACAUGUUAAGUCAUACGACUGGCUUGACUUACCUGUGUCUGACGAUCCAUCAAAAGCAAGAGCUGCAAGGCUAGUAAAAAAUGAGGAGAUGUCAGCACCCACCAGUGGCACAACGGUAUUAUAUCCAACUAGUGGUGGCAACAUCCAUUCUUUUAGAGCUGUGACGCCAUGUGCUCUUUUUGAUAUUCUAUCACCGCCAUACUCUUCUGAGGAUGGACGGCACUGUUCCUAUUUUCGGAAGUCUCCAGAAAAAGAUGUUGCAGACAUCGUUGAGUCCACUGGAAUGGAUGCCUCUGAAGUAGCAUGGUUAGAAGAGUUCCAGCCUCCAGACAGCUUUGUGGUUCGAAGAGGAGUGUACAAUGGCCCAAUAAUUAGAAUUUGAGGAGUUCUGUUGUUAAAGAAAACAGAGUGGGUGUACCAUAUCAUUGGUCAGUCAAGUUAGGCAUCCGGAAUUUCAGGUUCAAGCAAAAGCAACCAUCCAGAAUGUUAGAUUCAAGCAAUAGCACCACUGGCUGAAUUUCGAUGUCCACUUUGUUGUCGCACAAUGUAUGGUCCAUUAUCCAGAUUCAGGGGAUCUAAAACCUAAUUCCGCAGCUGUAGCCUCUAGGUUUGAGAGUUCGCUGCAUUUUUGUUGCUGAAUAUUUCCUAAUUGGGUUUCCCAUUUUGUGGUCCAUUUGAAUGUUAUGUCUGAUAUGGGCUAUUUUAACAUUUUUGUUGCUGAAUAUUUCCUAAUUGGGUUUCCCAUUUUGUGGUCCA